rnacentral:rRNA from 1 species
UACGUAGGGGGCAAGCGUUGUCCGGAUUUAUUGGGCGUAAAGAGCGUGUAGGCGGCCGUACAGGUCAGCUGUGAAAACUCGAGGCUCAACCUCGAGACGUCGGUUGAAACCGUACGGCUAGAGUCCGGAAGAGGAGAGUGGAAUUCCCGGUGUAGCGGUGAAAUGCGCAGAUAUCGGGAAGAACACCCGUGGCGAAAGCGGCUUCCUGGUCCGACACCGACGUUCAGGCACGAAAGUGUGGGGAGCAAACAGG